GCCACCCAAGAGAUGCGCCGGAGGCCGGCGCGGCGGCGCGCGGGGAGGCUGCCGGCUCCGUAGCAUCUAAGGAGCAUUCCAGCCGCGGCGGGCGGGCGGGAUCCGGAGGUGACCGGUUCGGUGGAGGCGGGGACUGGGGACACGCAGCUGCUGGCGAGAGGCCGGAAACUGGGAUCUGUCCACACCGCCCGCUGGAAACCACCUCUGGGUCAUUUCUGAAAGACUUGCCCAGAGAGCCGAGCCUUUGGU